ACUUGAACAACUCAAGGUGACUGAGGGCAAAACUGUUGCAGUUGGACAAAAGAUGGACUUGGUGUUCUAUACCUUGCAGAUGGGAUUCUUUGACUUGGAUUUUGACCUCAUUUCUAAAAGCAUAGAUAAGUUUCAUUUAUUCACACUUCACACUGGGAAAAUCUCAAUCAAUCUUUAUCUUAUUUAAAAUACAGGAGAAAGCACUUGAACAACUCAAGGUGACUGAGGGCAAAACUGUUGCAGUUGGACAAAAGAUGGACUUGGUGUUCUAUACCUUGCAGAUGGGAUUCUUUGACUUGGAUUUUGACCUCAUUUCUAAAAGCAUAGAUAAAGCAAAGAAGUAAGUAGGAGGGUCUAACAAGCAGUUCAGAUGUUAUGAGACACGAUGUUCUAAAUGCCUUAUCUAGUUAUUAAGCUCAC
rnacentral:lncRNA from 1 species